GCCGCGGUGGCGUAAUUGGCAGCCGCAACUGACUUAAGAUCAGUCGUCGCAAGACGUGUGGGUUCGAGUCCCACCCGCGGCA
rnacentral:tRNA from 1 species